AGCGAACGCUGGCGGCAGGCUUAACACAUGCAAGUCGAGCGGGCAUAGCAAUAUGUCAGCGGCAGACGGGUGAGUAACGCGUGGGAACGUACCUUUUGGUUCGGAACAACUGAGGGAAACUUCAGCUAAUACCGGAUAAGCCCUUACGGGGAAAGAUUUAUCGCCGAAAGAUCGGCCCGCGUCUGAUUAGCUAGUUGGUGAGGUAAUGGCUGACCAAGGCGACGAUCAGUAGCUGGUCUGAGAGGAUGAUCAGCCACAUUGGGACUGAGACACGGCCCAAACUCCUACGGGAGGCAGCAGUGGGGAAUAUUGGACAAUGGGCGCAAGCCUGAUCCAGCCAUGCCGCGUGAGUGAUGAAGGCCCUAGGGUUGUAAAGCUCUUUUGUGCGGGAAGAUAAUGACGGUACCGCAAGAAUAAGCCCCGGCUAACUUCGUG
rnacentral:rRNA from 1 species